AGCAGCCGCGGUAAUUCCAGCUCCAAUAGCGUAUAUUAAAGUUGUUGCAGUUAAAAGCUCGUAGUUGAAUUUCGGGAUCAGUACGCUGGUCGUGCCUCUGGUAUGUACUGGUGUCACUGGUUCCUCCCUUCUGAAGAACCAUUAUGCCAUUCAUUUGGUGUGGUGGGAAAUCAGGACUGUUACUUUGAAAAAUUAGAGUGUUUAAAGCAGGCUCGCGCUUGAAUACAUUAGCAUGGAAUAAUGAAAUAGGACGUUGAUCCUAUUUUGUUGGUUUCUAGGAUUGACGUAAUGAUUAAUAGGGAUAGUUGGGGGCAUUGGUAUUCAAUUGUCAGAGGUGAAAUUCUUGGAUUUAUUGAAGACUAACUACUGCGAAAGCAUUUGCCAAGGAUGUUUUCAUUAAUCAAGAACGAAAGUUAGGGGAUCGAAGACGAUCAGAUACCGUCGUAGUCU
rnacentral:rRNA from 1 species